rnacentral:lncRNA from 1 species
AUGCCUGGGCAGGGCGAAGCGAGAGGAAACUCUGGUGGGGGUCUGUAGUGGUCCUGACGUGCAAAUCGGUCAUCUGAUCUGGGUAUAGGGGCAAAAGACUAAUCCAACCAUCUAGUAGCUGGUUCCCUCUGAAGUUUUCCUAAGGAUAACGGGCGCUCUCGCAAAAACCCCAUGCCACGCAGUUAUUUGGUAAAGCGAAUGAUUAGGGGUCUUGGAGUCAAAAUGAUCUCAACCAAUUCUCAAACUUUAAAUGGGUUAGAAGCCCAGCUCGAUGGCCCUUGAAAAUCUGGGGGAGAGGGUGUAAAUCUCACACCAGGCUGUAACCAUAUCCACAGCAGGUCUCCAAGGUAAACAGCCUCUGGCAUGUUAGAACAAUGUAGGUAAGGGAAAUCAGCAAGCUGGAUCAG